GACGUAGGUGGCGAACGUUAUCCGGAAUUAUUGGGCGUAAAGGGUGCGUAGGUGGCCUGGCAAGUUAUUAGUGGUAAAUCGAGGCUCAACCUCGUGGAAACUAGUAAUACUGUUCGGCUUGAGUGCAGGAGAGGUUAACGGAACUCUAUGUGGAGGGGUAAAAUCCAUAGAUAUAUGGAUGAACAUCAAUAACGGCGAAGGCAGUUAACUAUUCUGUUACUGACACUGAGGCACGAAAGCUAGGGGAGCAAACAGG
rnacentral:rRNA from 1 species